GCCAGUUUGGUUCAGUGGGUAAAGCACCAGGUUGGAAACCAGGAGUCUGUGAGUUCUAGUCCCACCUUAGGCA
rnacentral:tRNA from 1 species